rnacentral:rRNA from 1 species
UACGAAGGGGGCUAGCGUUGUUCGGAAUUACUGGGCGUAAAGCGCGUGUAGGCGGGUCUUUAAGUCAGGGGUGAAAUGCCAAGGCUCAACCUUGGAACUGCCUUUGAUACUGGAGACCUUGAGUCCGGGAGAGGUGAGUGGAAUUGCGAGUGUAGAGGUGAAAUUCGUAGAUAUUCGCAAGAACACCAGUGGCGAAGGCGGCUUACUGGCCCGGAACUGACGCUGAGACGCGAAAGCGUGGGGAGCGAACAGG